CUGGCUUUUUCGAUGACAGUGUUUAAGAUGAAGAAAGAGAUGAUUUCCCUCCCAGUGUGGUCCCACUGCUCUGGCCAAUACCUUUGCACUGUCUGUAGCCAGACUCCCCUGAGUGUGCCUGACCUCAUCUGCAUCUCCAGAGCUACAGAGGGUCAGGCCCAGCAAGUACUUGGAGGAAAGGACAUCUUGCAUUAUGAUGAGAAUAGUUUUAACCUCCCAGACACCCUGAAACAGGCUUGGGGACCCCCCCCCCAGAGGUCUGUGACCACACUUUGACAAUCACUGAUUCUUCCAGGGCUGCCAGGGGUGUUGGAGGAUGUGGAUGAAAUCAGAUGAAAAGAAACAUCAUAAUAAACAGCUCCACAUCACCAGGCACCAGCACCUCUACCCCCAUUAUCUAGGCCUCCUCCCCAUUUGGGGGCAAAUGUCUUCUAUCCCCAUGUCCAGCCCCUCUCCCAACUGCAACUCUGGCUGAAGCUGCAGAUGAAAACCCCUUGGCUCCUUCAAAACUCCCUUGAAAAGUCAACUUCUUCCUGAAGUCUUACCGAACAUAAGCCCUCAAUGGGGAUCACAUCUCCCACCUCUGCAGCUCCAGUCCACUCUGUUAUCUUCUUCAUGGCCAAAUCUCAUUCUUAGCAUUCUUCUUUGGACAUAAAAAGUCCUCCACAGGCUCCUUUUGAUCAAAAGGAACGAGGAUAGGGAAAGCGUGUCUCCAUCAAUGGCUGGGGAUGAUGAGCGACAUUGACUAACCCAUGGUUAGCAGGCCAAAGCAUUCUGGGAAAUCCUGCAAUCAAUUUCAGAGCAUGGGCAUGUUCCCAAGAACUGAGGACCAGGAAGUAACACGCCAGGGGGACUGGGACCAGAGGGACCUGGUGGAGAGGAAGGCUGACAAGUUCUCCAAGGGCUGACCUAGCCCAAACUGUGACUUUGAUGAAGCUUACAUUUAGGAUCCUUUUUGCUGUGUGACCUUGGGCAAACCACUUAACCUCUCUGGGCCUCCAUUUCCACAUCUGUCAAGUGAAGUUUGGAUCAAUCACUAGAACUCCUUACAGCUCCCCUUUCUGUGAGUCAAUGAUCUGCCUGUGCUAAAACAUGAUGUUGACCCUCCUCCCUCCUAGGAGAAGGGCAGUCAAGCUUUCUGGGCUGCUGACAUUGGAACCUAGCACGAUGUUGACAUUCAAAUGUUCUGUGACAUCAUCAGAUGAUAUGCACACAUGCCAUAAUGCUAAUGUGACAAGCCCACCAUGCUGACAUUCAAACAUGCUGUUGCCGACAUUGAAUGCUCUGACAUCAUUCACUCAGGCAGCAUAAACAACAGCCAGCUAUGUGCCAAUCACACAAACAGCCUGGGAAACCUAUGUGUCCACAGAGUCCCUUCUCAGAACUUUCCUCGCCAAGAAUCUAGACCCCAUAGCAGCCUUGGGGAGAGGCUUAGAGCUCCCUUGGCUAAACUCUUCACUGGUACCAUCCCAGUGGAAUACCAUGGGAUGUUGGCUGGAGCUGGGGGGAGACUCUAGUAGCUCAUUGUGACAGCACCUUGCUGCCCCUGCACCUGCUCUGUCCAGGCACUGGUCUGGGUCAUGGGCUCACACCAACAGCUCAACAGGACAGCACUAUUUACAGAGAAGGAUACUGAGGCUCAAAGAGAUGGCAGCCACCAUGGAUCCCUGAGGCUUCCCUGGCCCCCAGCAGGCUUCUACAUCAGCAGCAGGAAGUCAAGACCAAGAGAAGGGGGCUCCCUCCACAGCAGCCACCCCAUCCGCUCCUGUUACACCCAGAGUGCCGGCUCUCUUCCCAGAACUUCCUCCAGCAGAAGGAAAAUCCCUGGAUAGAGAAUCCUCAGCCAGGACUCCCACCAGCGGUCCUGGCACUGCUCUGGAUGCAGCAGGGAACACCGGGAGCAGGACGGUUCUGGGUCAAAUUUCGACUUUGGCAAUUAUUCGCUGUGCAACCACAGACACAUCAUUUAACCUCCCUCAGCCUCGGCUAAAAAACAGAAUAGAACUUGUGACCUUCAUCACAGCCUGCUUACAAAGCCAAAACAGACCAGGUGCCGUGGCUCACUCCUAUAAUCCCAGCACUUUGGGAAGCCAAGUCAGGAGGAUCACUUCAGGCUAGCAGUUCAAGACCAGCCUGGGGAACAUGGACCAUGUCUCUACAAAACAAUAAAAAAAAAAUUAGCCAGGUGCGGUAGUGUGUGCC